GACGCGGUGGCCUAAUGGUUAGCGCGUUGGACUCUGGAUUGAGCGGUCUGGUUCGAGCCCUGGCCGGGGUCA